rnacentral:rRNA from 1 species
UAGGGAAUCUUCGGCAAUGGACGAAAGUCUGACCGAGCAACGCCGCGUGAGUGAAGAAGGUUUUCGGAUCGUAAAACUCUGUUGUUAGAGAAGAACAAGGACGUUAGUAACUGAACGUCCCCUGACGGUAUCUAACCAGAAAGCCACGGCUAACUACGUGCCAGCAGCCGCGGUAAUACGUAGGUGGCAAGCGUUGUCCGGAUUUAUUGGGCGUAAAGCGAGCGCAGGCGGUUUCUUAAGUCUGGUGUGAAAGCCCCCGGCUCAACCGGGGAGGGUCAUUGGAAACUGGGAGACUUGAGUGCAGAAGAGGAGAGUGGAAUUCCAUGUGUAGCGGUGAAAUGCGUAGAUAUAUGGAGGAACACCAGUGGCGAAGGCGGCUCUCUGGUCUGUAACUGACGCUGAGGCUAGAAAGCGUGGGGAGCAAACAGG